AAGUUGUUCAAUGUUAAUACUGUCAACAUCAAGUAUACCAUCAAAUUCUUAAAUGGAGUAGAACAGUGAUUGUUGACCUAUUUAUCUACCUGCUUGCACCUAAGAGUUUCCAUUCAAUAGAUAAAAAAUCUUUUCAGACUUCAAGCAAUGGAUGUUAUAUUUUAAGAAGACGUAAACAAAGACUAAGGCUGGCACUUUAAUUUAAUAACUCAGCUUUGUAUUAAUGAAUAGGCACACUUCAUAGAUCAUUUAAAAUGUUAUACAGCUGUUAUUGGUCAUGUACUCUCCGGAUUAUUUUCAAACUUUCACUUCCAAAAAAAGUGUCAAGGAAUAUAAAACAAUCAAUAUACAAUAAAUAAAAAAGCCUAUAAAAAUGUUCACGAUCAACUGAAACACUGAUAAUGUUACAUCAAAAUUUAUUAGUUCAACUUAUAUUUAUAUUAGGUUGAAUAACGGAUAGUCUGUCUCACUUUUAAGAUUGUAGUUAAGACUACCUCAUGAACCUAUUCGAUCUAAUAUCUAAAAAAUGUCCUCCCAUACGCCCUAACUUAACUUGACAACACACCUGCAGACGCGAAAGUAUAGUGAGGGGUCGACAAAGUGUUGUGAACUAAACAUCGAACUUGACGCAAUGAGCGGUAUUUUGUUCCAACUCAUUGCACAAUGCGCAAAUUAAUUAAAGCCACCAAUCAAUUCCGACUGCGGUAAAUCGAUUUUCAUCAAAUCUGAGAUAAAGUAGGCUUGACCACAAACGACCCCCUGAGUAUUUAAUUAAAUCAAACUGUGAAACUUCUCUCGAUAAUACACAUUUAUACGCCGUCGUUCAAUUCGAGAUUUCCCUUUAUCGCACCAAAAAAAACGGGUAUAAGAAGUUAUAACCGGCCUAUAUAAUAAGGUAAUAUCGAGUUUAUUUGAAAAUCCCGUUAGCGUGUUAUUGGGAAUAUUUACUAAUCUUUUUACGUGUAAUUAAAACGCAAUAGUUUUAAUCGGCUAUUGCUAAAAAACAAUAAAUUUUACUCCCAAUGAAAUUAUGUUAGUGAAUCGAUUCACUUUAAAAAGUAAUUUUAAAUGUUUCAUGUAAAAUAAUUAAUUAUUAUUUUAAGAUUGAUGGCGCUUUUGGGACAGUAAAUCAAAGUACAACAAUUCCCAAGUUGGUAAUUACAUUCGAAGCUAUUUGUACACACAUUUGUAUUCAAUUACUCCUGAUAAGGAAGAUUUGAACGACCAAUCGGAAAUGAUAUCGACAAAUUACCGCAAACUUAUUUGCGCUAUCGGCCAAAAGUUAAUUUUCUGUGUCGGGAUAUUUUAGUCAAUGCCGGUCAGAAAAGCAUAAUAUGCCUUUUUUCAAAUUGGAACCGAAGGAAAUAAAAUAUAGAAAUGUUUAGUGGAGAAACGUUUUCGUGUUUCGUGAAGGACAGUUCAGUGUAGUUCUGGGAAGUGUUUCGCACGAGAAAUGCUUCCGUAAUAGAUACCGAAUGAAGCUAAGAAAUGUGAAAGCAAAGAUCACGCCAAGGUAUUGUAGUUUUGUUAGUAACGAGACAUAAAUCUAUGAAAAAAUUAUCUUCAUUCGUCUUUUUUUUAUCCCAACCAGGGCGACGAAAUUACACUAAACCUAUGAAUUUAUGUUGCACAAUCAUCAAUGAUUUAGUUGAAUAAAAAUAAUCUGGAUUUUAUCACAGUGUACGAAUUCGGGAACGAAUAAAUUAGCAAAAGGGCGACCUCGCAAAGCCGUAGUUAAGGACAAGGUAUAGCAUUUUUUGGCAUAGCGUAUCGAAAAAUCACUUGCACAUUGUCAAAGGCAGGCAAUACUUCUUUGAGCAAUUCAUGGUAUACGGCUACGCCAUUACCCGAUCAACAUAAAGCGAUGAAGAAAAAUAAUAAUUACGUAUAAAGCUCUGAAGACAAAUAUAAUAAGCGGUCGAAAUAUUGAAUGUUGGUUCGUUUAAUCAUAGAACGAUAUCCCGAAAAACAACAGAUUCGACUUGGGUAACAAAAUUUCAAUCUAACAAAACAAUGUCAGCGAUAAGCAAAAUAUCUUUCGGAAACGGCGCUAUCCGCAUCAAUUACACAUUUUAUUAUUUGCGCUAUCGAUUGGAUUUCUGUGAGACUAGCUGAUUAUCCAUUUUCUUUGCUUUUCGACUGGUGGAUUCAUAUGCAUAUAAUGCGAACAGACGCUACUAAAACGGAAAUUGUUUUGAAGAAUCAACCGAGUAAAAGCUUCAUUUAGCCUAACUAAAUAUGAACGGAUCGAUCAGCUUUAAAAACCAGACUUAAAGCUAUGCCAAAGCGACUUAUUCUAUGUGGCACAGCUCUACGAUGGAUGGUUGAUCUACGUCUCUCCACCAAUUCCAUACCCUCUAUGACGACGACACGGGCUGGUGAGCACGGAUAUAACUUACAAUUAGUCGAGACCAAACCAGACAGUGUCUCAUUCAGCGAUCGAUGGACGUAUUGGAUCAGCUGAAAGGUUUGCCGGCUUAGUCAAGCCAGCAGCCAAUCGUUGUCGUCAAGAAAUGUUUGAAUAACAGAAUGCAUUGCAAAAUACUCUUAUUAUAAAACAAUAAUGCUAGUCAUUAGUCAACAUUUAUCAAUUGUACAUUUUCUGUAAUGUGAUGUGCCAUGUUCUCAAAUAAAAUAAUAUAACCAUUAAACUGAAGAUGGUAACAGUUAAUCUGAUAUGAGUAUUGUUUUUCUUGCUCAGACACAUAUAAGAAGAAAUAUACAAUAAAGAGAAUUGUGUUUUGAUAAGGCUACACCUAGUAAAGAAAUGGCAGAAAAAUUUUUGCUGAAACUCGUUAUUUCCAAGUUUGACAAAGAUGGUAUCAAUACAUAAGAUAUGAGAAGUAUUGUUUUUUUUUUUGCUUGAUUGGACACAAAUAAAAAAAAA